UUUCCGUUGGUGAACCAGCGGAAGGAUCAUUACAGAGUUCAUGCCCACACGGGUAGACCUCCCACCCUGUGUUAUACCUACCUUUGUUGCUUUGGCAGUCCGCCUUCGGGCUAUCGGCUUCGGCUGGGGUGUGCCUGCCAGAGGACCCCAACUCUUUUGUUUAUAUGUCGUCUGAGUACUAUAUAAUAAGUUAAAACUUUCAACAACGGAUCUCUUGGUUCUGGCAUCGAUGAAGAACGCAGC
rnacentral:misc_RNA from 1 species